rnacentral:misc_RNA from 1 species
AAAAAACCCUAUCUCUUCCUUUCCUUCUCUCAAUUCUCAUUUACCCAUAAAAUAUCAGGAUAACGCAAAACCCUCUACCUACUGAAAAUUUUUCAACUUCAAUGGCUAUUUCGUCUGGGAUUUUCACCACUUUCUUCUCCUCUAAAACGGUGUCGUUUCUCAACCCUUCUCCCAGUCUCUCUCCUUGUCCUGUUACCCUGCGAGUGAUGCGCACUGUCACCUGUGCUACGGUAUCGUCCCAGCAGCAGAAGGAGCGGCGUCCCCGAGGCAUUAUGAAGCCUCGUCGCGUUACUCCGGAAAUGGCUGAGUUUGUUGGUGCAUCGGAGAUCUCUCGCACCCAAACGCUUAAGCUCAUUUGGGCCUAUAUCAAGGAGCACAAUCUGCAGGACCCUGAUAACAAGAAGAUCAUAAUUUGUGAUGAGAAGCUGAAGAAGAUAUUUGGUGGUAGGGACCGAGUUGGAUUUCUCGAAGUCGCAGGAUUGAUUAGUCCUCACUUUCUCAAAUAAAUUUAGAAUGUUCGGUUUGAAGUUCAUGGAUCAAGUUCUAUGUGCAGUGGCUAUCUUUUUGGGCGACAACAAUAGUGAAAAUUAUGCCUGUUGCUUUCUGCAAUAGCAGUGUUUUGAGUUUUAUUAUUGCUUGGCUAUAGAGCCAGCUUUGUUAUGAGUUUUCCUUGUAGAUUCCUUGAAUCUAUAGGUUUUUAUUAAGGAUAUUAUUAGGCAUUUCCAGUUUAUGCUUUGUUAGACAUCUUUUAACUUUGGUUGAAUUACGUAUACAAGUUUAAUUCUGGCGAGUUUGUGUUCUUUCUGUACAUUUGUGGCUUCCUGCACAAACUAAGUACAAGCAAUUCUAUGCAAGAGUACUUUGUUGUGGCUGCUCUUUAAAUGUUAAUUGCAGCUGAUUUGGGUGUUUUUGGGGAUGGCAAUUGAUGGGGUGGGAAUGUCACUGGCAUCACCUCUCCAUAAGAAUGUGGGUUGUAAAAGAAUGUGCAUGAGUGGGAAGGGUGGUUUAUUUUGUAUUACUUUUUUUUUUUUUUUAAGAAUUGUGUCCUGUAUUAAUUAAAAGCAGACAAAGACCAAAUUUCUUUUUAGUUGGCUCUAUUAGGGUUGAAAAAUGCAUCAACUCCUGUUUAAUAGACGUUCCAUCUAGGGUGGCCACUGGGACCAGGGACUAGACUGCAGGGUCUAGAUUCUAGUUCAGUUUGUUCUGGUUUUGAUUUCAUUCAACUGUUGAAUUAGAUUGGUGGCCGCCCCAAGUUCCACCUAUGGAAUCUUUUUCCUUGCAUGGAGUUAAGCCUCUAACGAGCGUUGUUUGACCUUAACCUCUGAUACUGCCUGAUGGGUGAUCUAAACUUAUAUAUUGGUCAACUGCAGCCAGCAGGUGGUGGCUGAUUUGAAAUAUUCUAUUUCACUGUCCCAGUAAUUACCCUGACAUUGAAUGAUCAGUCGGCUCUAUCAG